GACGAACGCUGGCGGCGUGCUUAACACAUGCAAGUCGAACGGAAAGGACCUGCUUUGGUGGGGUGCUCGAGUGGCGAACGGGUGAGUAACACGUGAGUAACCUGCCCUUGACUGUGGGAUAACUUCAGGAAACUGGGGCUAAUACCGGAUAGGAGCUCCUGCUGCCUGGGGGGGGUGGGAAAGUUUCGGCGGUGCGGGGUGGGCUCGCGGCUUGUCAGCUUGUUGGUGGGGUAGUGUCUUACCAAGGCUUUGACGGGUAGCCGGCCUGGGGGGGUGACCGGCCACAUUGGGACUGAGCUGCGGCCCAGACUCCUCCGGGAGGCAGCAGUGGGGAAUAUUGCACAAUGGGCGGAAGCCUGAUGCAGCAACGCCGCGUGCGGGAUGACGGCCUUCGGGUUGUAAACCGCUUUCGCCUGUGACGAAGCGUGAGUGACGGUAAUGGGUAAAGAAGCACCGGCUAACUACGUG
rnacentral:rRNA from 1 species